UACACUCCUACGGGAGGCAGCAGUGGGGAAUUUUGGACAAUGGGCGAAAGCCUGAUCCAGCAAUGCCGCGUGUGUGAAGAAGGCCUUCGGGUUGUAAAGCACUUUUGUCCGGAAAGAAAUCCUUGGCUCUAAUACAGUCGAGGGAUGACGGUACCGGAAGAAUAAGCACCGGCUAACUACGUGCCAGCAGCCGCGGUAAUACGUAGGGUGCGAGCGUUAAUCGGAAUUACUGGGCGUAAAGCGUGCGCAGGCGGUUUGCUAAGACCGAUGUGAAAUCCCCGGGCUCAACCUGGGAACUGCAUUGGUGACUGGCAGGCUAGAGUAUGGCAGAGGGGGGUAGAAUUCCACGUGUAGCAGUGAAAUGCGUAGAGAUGUGGAGGAAUACCGAUGGCGAAGGCAGCCCCCUGGGCCAAUACUGACGCUCAUGCACGAAAGCGUGGGGAGCAAACAGGAUUAGAUACCCGGGUAGUCCCA
rnacentral:rRNA from 1 species